GCUCUAAUAGCUUAAGUCUAAAAGCGUUGUUCUUGUAAACCAAAGCCGGAUAUUCCUUAGAGCAACA
rnacentral:tRNA from 1 species